GAAACACUGGCUCUUCGUUUGCACUUUUGACCCCACAGCUUGUGGGCGGGCUUUAGUGGGAGGUGUGGAGGAUGCUUCUCCGUUGGUCAGUCAUUUUUUGAGUGUCAGUUUGGCUACAACCAAUAGUGUUCAGCCUUUCUUUCCGACACAAAGGAAGUCAUAGACACUUACAGUACAAAGAAGGACUGUGUGAUGAUGGCGUCUCAGGUAACCAGCACUGGGCGUUCUUCCGUCCAACUUCUACAUAGGUAGUAGUUCAGUGAUGGGGGGGUUGGAUCACUACUGGCUGUAGGCGAACAAGUGAUGCGCGUUUGGAGCAAUACUAGCUGCUGUAUCCAAGGGUCAGACAUUCGUUCACAUGACAACAGAAGAUAACCAAUUUACUAGUUACAGCAGCGCGUCCCCUGAACUAUAACGAAGAGGAAACGUUAGGAGAGAAGCCUGACCACGGAGACACCGGAGGUUUCAAGUUGGAUAUUAAUAAGUGUCAUUAUCUGUCUUUACCUUGGUCACGGAGAGGGGGUGAGAAGAGUGGCAGGUGAAAUAUUUGCAGUGAGCCUUGCACGAGGUGGACCGUCUCCAGGAUUUAUGCUGGAGUGAUGUUACCACUAUCUGUUGACCGGGACCCUGAAGGACCUAACAAAGGAUCAAAGAUCCCUUUGACCUGUCACCCUACACUGAAGGAAUCCUCAACUGUCACCCUACACUGAAGGAAUCCUCAACUGUCACCCUACGCUGAAGGAAUCCUCAACUGUCACCCUACACUGAAGGAAUCCUCAACUGUCACCCUACACUGAAGGAAUCCUCAACUGUCACCCUACACUGAAGGAAUCCUCAACUGUCACCCUACACUGAAGGAAUCCUCAACUGUCACCCUACACUGAAGGAAUCCUCAACUGUCACCCUACGCUGAAGGAAUCCUCAACUGUCACCCUACGCUGAAGGAAUCCUCAACUGUCACCCUACGCUGAAGGAAUCCUCAACUGUCACCCUACACUGAAGGAAUCCUCAACUGUCACCCUACACUGAAGGAAUCCUCAACUGUCACCCUACACUGAAGGAAUCCUCAACUGUCACCCUACGCUGAAGGAAUCCUCAACUGUCACCCUACGCUGAAGGAAUCCUCAACUGUCACCCUACGCUGAAGGAAUCCUCAACUGUCACCCUACGCUGAAGGAAUCCUCAACUGUCACCCUACGCUGAAGGAAUCCUCAACUGUCACCCUACGCUGAAGGAAUCCUCAACUGUCACCCUACGCUGAAGGAAUCCUCAACUGUCACCCUACACUGAAGGAAUCCUCAACUGUCACCCUACGCUGAAGGAAUCCUCAACUGUCACCCUACGCUGAAGGAAUCCUCAACUGUCACCCUACACUGAAGGAAUCCUCAACUGUCACCCUACGCUGAAGGAAUCCUCAACUGUCACCCUACGCUGAAGGAAUCCUCAACUGUCACCCUACGCUGAAGGAAUCCUCAACUGUCACCCUACGCUGAAGGAAUCCUCAACUGUCACCCUACGCUGAAGGAAUCCUCAACUGUCACCCUACGCUGAAGGAAUCCUCAACUGUCACCCUACGCUGAAGGAAUCCUCAACUGUCACCCUACACUGAAGGUUGUAGUCCAACUGCCUGAGGAAGUAGCUGAGGUUAAAGGUCAGACGAAGCAGCUCAGCCAGACGCUGAAAGUGGAGAAGCCCAGAGGAGUCAGGCCCAAGUCUGCCAGGAGACCAUUGACUCUCUGAACCUGUAGAGCAUCAGCAGCCUAGUGGCCCUGGAUUAGAUAAAGACCAGGGUAUGACUGGCCUCUCUCCUCAUUCAUAGUCCUUAUCAUGCUGUCACCGUAAGCAAUGAUGUAGUAACCAAUGAUGUGGUAUCCAGUGAUGUAGUUAUAAAAAGAACAGAAAGGCCUGGACACUGUAUAUGCUCCUUACUACCACAUUUAAUGACCUUUCAAUCCUUUUUCAUCUAGACUUUAUUAGGCCAGCACCUACAGUACCAGUCCGAAGUUUGAACACACCUACUCAUUCAUAAGGUUCUUUAUUUUCUACAUU